rnacentral:rRNA from 1 species
GUGACUGCGUACCUUUUGUAUAAUGGGUCAGCGACUUAUAUUUUGUAGCGAGGUUAACUGAAUAGGGGAGCCGAAGGGAAACCGAGUCUUAACUGGGCGAGUAGUUGCAAGGUAUAGACCCGAAACCCGGUGAUCUAGCCAUGGGCAGGUUGAAGGUUGGGUAACACUAACUGGAGGACCGAACCGACUAAUGUUGAAAAAUUAGCGGAUGACUUGUGGCUGGGGGUGAAAGGCCAAUCAAACCGGGAGAUAGCUGGUUCUCCCCGAAAUCUAUUUAGGUAGAGCCUUGAGGUGACACCUUUGGGGGUAGAGCACUGUUUCGGCUAGGGGGCCAUCCCGGCUUACCAACCCGAUGCAAACUACGAAUACCAAAGAGUGAUACUCAGGAGACACACGGCGGGUGCUAACGUCCGUCGUGGAGAGGGAAACAACCCAGACCGCCAGCUAAGGUCCCCAAGUCUAUAUUAAGUGGGAAACGAAGUGGGAAGGCUUAGACAGCUAGGAUGUUGGCUUAGAAGCAGCCAUCAUUUAAAGAAAGCGUAAUAGCUCACUAGUCGAGUCGGCCUGCGCGGAAGAUGUAACGGGGCUGAAAUAUAGCACCGAAGCUGCGGCAUCAGAAUUUAUUCUGUUGGGUAGGGGAGCGUUGUGUAAGCGGAAGAAGGUUCAUCGAGAGGUGGGCUGGACGUAUCACAAGUGCGAAUGCUGACAUAAGUAACGAUAAAACGGGUGAAAAACCCGUUCGCCGGAAGACCAAGGGUUCCUGUCCAACGUUAAUCGGGGCAGGGUGAGUCGGCUCCUAAGGCGAGGCUGAAAAGCGUAGUCGAUGGGAAACAGGUUAAUAUUCCUGUACUUGGUAAAGCUGCGAUGUGGGGACGGAGUAGGUUAGGUUAUCGCACUGUUGGAUAUGUGCGUUUAAGUUGGUAGGUGGGAAGUUUAGGCAAAUCCGGGCUUCCUUAACACAGAGAGAUGAUGACGAGGCUCUACGGAGCUGAAGUAACUGAUACCACACUUCCAGGAAAAGCCACUAAGCGAAAGGCUUUACUAAACCGUACUGAAAACCGACACAGGUGGUCAGGUAGAGAAUACUCAGGCGCUUGAGAGAACUCGGGUGAAGGAACUAGGCAAAAUAGCACCGUAACUUCGGGAGAAGGUGCGCCGGCGUAGAUUGUAAGGGCUAGCCCCUGAAGGUUGAACCGGUCGAAGAUACCAGCUGGCUGCAACUGUUUAUUAAAAACACAGCACUCUGCAAACACGAAAGUGGACGUAUAGGGUGUGAUGCCUGCCCGGUGCUGGAAGGUUAAUUGAUGGUGUAAUCGCAAGAGAAGCACCUGAUCGAAGCCCCAGUAAACGGCGGCCGUAACUAUAACGGUCCUAAGGUAGCGAAAUUCCUUGUCGGGUAAGUUCCGACCUGCACGAAUGGCAUAAUGAUGGCCAGGCUGUCUCCACCCGAGACUCAGUGAAAUUGAAAUCGCCGUGAAGAUGCGGUGUACCCGCGGCUAGACGGAAAGACCCCGUGAACCUUUACUAUAGCUUGACACUGAACAUUGAAUUUUGAUGUGUAGGAUAGGUGGGAGACUUAGAAGUAGUCACGCCAGUGAUUAUGGAGUCGACCUUGAAAUACCACCCUUUAACGUUUGAUGUUCUAACGAAGAUGACGAAACGUGGUCUCGGACAGUGUCUGGUGGGUAGUUUGACUGGGGCGGUCUCCUCCCAAAGCGUAACGGAGGAGCACGAAGGUUUGCUAAUCACGGUCGGACAUCGUGAGGUUAGUGCAAUGGUAUAAGCAAGCUUAACUGCGAGACAGACAAGUCGAGCAGGUACGAAAGUAGGUCAUAGUGAUCCGGUGGUUCUGAAUGGAAGGGCCAUCGCUCAACGGAUAAAAGGUACUCCGGGGAUAACAGGCUGAUACCGCCCAAGAGUUCAUAUCGACGGCGGUGUUUGGCACCUCGAUGUCGGCUCAUCACAUCCUGGGGCUGAAGUAGGUCCCAAGGGUAUGGCUGUUCGCCAUUUAAAGUGGUACGCGAGCUGGGUUUAGAACGUCGUGAGACAGUUCGGUCCCUAUCUGCCGUGGGCGUAGGAGAAUUGGUUGGGGCUGCUCCUAGUACGAGAGGACCGGAGUGGACGCACCACUGGUGUUCCGGUUGUGUCGCCAGACGCAUUGCCGGGUAGCUAAGUGCGGAAGAGAUAAGUGCUGAAAGCAUCUAAGCACGAAACUUGCCAAGAGAUGAGUUCUCCCAAUCUAAGAGAUUGUAAGGGUUGUUGUAGACUACGACGUAGAUAGGUCUGGUGUGUAAGUGUAGUGAUGCAUUGAGCUAACAGAUACUAAUUGCCCGAGAGGCUUAACUAU